GAUCUCCCAAGUGAGCCAUCUUGCAUAUAACACAAACAACCAGAAAGCAUUAAUGUUUUCAUUCUAGAGCCUGACUCAACCCUAAAUCCUCUCAAGUUUAACUCUAAAUCUUCUUCAACUUUAACCCUAAAUACUCAACUGUAACUUUAAUUUAGAAGUAUUUUAUUUUCCUGUUUCACUAUACAUCAUAGAGUCAAACAUGGGAAGUAUAUACAUUACCUACAUUAGAAUAAAUAACAUAGAUUUAAG
rnacentral:misc_RNA from 1 species